rnacentral:rRNA from 1 species
UACAGGGGGGGCAAGCGUUGCUCGGAAUCACUGGGCGUAAAGCGCACGUAGGCGGAUUGUUAAGUCAGGGGUGAAAUCCUGGAGCUCAACUCCAGAACUGCCUUUGAUACUGGCGAUCUCGAGUCCGGGAGAGGUGAGUGGAACUGCGAGUGUAGAGGUGAAAUUCGUAGAUAUUGGGAAGAACACCGGUGGCGAAGGCGGCAUCCUGGACCAAUUCUGACGCUGAGGAGCGAAAGCCAGGGGAGCAAACGGG